UGAGGUCACCAGCACAGAGAGGGCCCCUCACAGCCAGAAAGUCAUGGAGGCCCUGGAAUGUGAUCAGAGCUGGGCAACCAAGCUGUAACAGCACACAAUGAAGUGAUUAUCAUGAAUGAGAGGAAUCUCAGGAAACUGGAGAAGGCUGGAGAGAGUGGAGGUGGAGAAACAAAGAGGACCAGAGGAGAGUUUUCUAAAGUCAAGAAAAGACAGAUAGACCUGCUGUAUAGUUUAUUUUUGUUUAUGUCUACUUGUCUGUCUAUAUCUGUUUUUUGUGCUUUUUUCUUCUGGCCAAUCUUAUUAAACUUUAUUUUAAUUACCAGGGGCACCUACAA